rnacentral:rRNA from 1 species
UACAGAGGGUGCGAGCGUUAAUCGGAAUUACUGGGCGUAAAGGGUGCGUAGGUGGUUUGGUAAGUUAGAUGUGAAAUUCCUGGGCUUAACCUGGGGACUGCGUCUGAUACUGCUAGGCUAGAGUACUGUAGAGCGAAGUGGAAUUUCCGGUGUAGCAGUGAAAUGCGUAGAUAUUGGGAAGAACACCGGUGGCGAAGGCGGCUCUCUGGACCGAGACUGACGCUGAGGCGCGAAAGCGUGGGGAGCAAACAGG